ACCAAACUGAAGCUGAAACCUCAGACACUCAGUUCAUCAUUUGAAUGGUAUCAAGAAUAUGAGAUGGUGUGAGGAUGAUGGGAGAAAGGGCAUCUGUUGCUUGUUUUGGUUCCUCCUGAAUCCACAGUCAGUACUCAGUAGAGUAGCCAUGAUUUUAAUUAUUUUAAGAGGAAGAUUCACAAGGAUGUGCCCACAAAACACUGCCAAUUUGCAGCUGAAAAUGAUAACUGGAUUGAUAUUCCUCUUUGAGAUGCAAGCAGAUGCCUCCACCAACUAUCUCGAACCGGAAUGCCGCAGCCUCCCCUUCGUCCGCAUUUAUCCUUGGCAGGAGCACCGUCUAUUUUGGGAAGGACGAAUCCCUGAGGACACCUGCAAAGGACUGGAAGCUCUUAGCAACUCCUUGACCUGAGAGUGAGGAACCGAGUGGCGGGGAGCCCCAGGACCUGCCCAUCAUCACGUCUCUGCAGUGGCCUUGCCACAACCUGCCCGGCGGGUUCUCCUGGAUUGGGGGAAGGUCUGGACCCGUGUCCCUCGGGGGUUCUCCUAGGUCUCUUAUGGAGGAGGUGGCAGGGCAGGGAAUUGCUCAGUGACUUUCGACUCCAUUUCCAAGGCACAUGCAUUGUUAAGUGCUAAGACUUCUGUAAGAUAGUUGGAGUGGAAAAUGGAACCCUUAAUCCUAGACCCUAAAGUUCAACUCUUUCAUGAUCGCUACAAUGGGUGCUAAAGAGAAGAGAACAGAGGAAACAGUCUGGGCAAAUGUAUCCUGUUUGUUGUUAUGGGGCUUUGGUCUCAAAUCUCUGUGGUUGAGCUGAGCUAGUUUGGAGCAUGUGUCAGCUGUGAGCAUGCCCUUUGCCUGUCUAAAUUCAGGUGGAAGACGAAAAGCCUAAUGAUAAGUUCAAGGUCAAAUAAGUCUAAAUAUGAAUAAGAAGCAAUAAAGCAUAGUCCUAAAGUCA
rnacentral:lncRNA from 1 species